rnacentral:rRNA from 1 species
UAGGGAAUAUUGCGCAAUGAACGAAAGUUUGACGCAGCGACGCCGCGUGAGGGAAGAAGGUUUUCGGAUCGUAAACCUCUGUCAAGGGGGAAGAAGUGUAUGCGCUCUAACAUAGCGUGUAUUUGACGGUACCUCUGAAGGAAGCACCGGCUAACUCCGUGCCAGCAGCCGCGGUAAUACGGAGGGUGCGAGCGUUAAUCGGAAUUACUGGGCGUAAAGCGCGCGUAGGCGGAAGCCUAAGUCAGGAGUGAAAUCCCGGGCUAACUUGGGAAUAGCUUUUGAUACUGGGUUUCUUGAGUUCAGGAGAGGGUGGCGGAAUUCCAGGUGUAGGAGUGAAAUCCGUAGAGAUCUGGAGGAACAUCAGUGGCGAAGGCGGCCACCUGGACUGAUACUGACGCUGAGGUGCGAAAGCGUGGGUAGCAAACAGGAUUAGAUACC